GACGAACGCUGGCGGCGUGCUUAACACAUGCAAGUCGAACGGAAAGGCCCUGCUUUUGUGGGGUGCUCGAGUGGCGAACGGGUGAGUAACACGUGAGUAACCUGCCCUUGACUUUGGGAUAACUUCAGGAAACUGGGGCUAAUACCGGAUAGGAGCUCCUGCUGCAUGGUGGGGGUUGGAAAGUUUCGGCGGUUGGGGAUGGACUCGCGGCUUAUCAGCUUGUUGGUGGGGUAGUGGCUUACCAAGGCUUUGACGGGUAGCCGGCCUGAGAGGGUGACCGGCGCCUUGGGGACUAAGAGAGGCCCCAGCAGCGAAGGGGGGGCAGAGGGGGGAAGUAUGACAGAGGGGGGGGGGGCGUGAGACGGAAGCCCCCGGUGCGGAAAACCGGCUUAGGGGUGUAAAACCAUUUUCCCCGGAAACAAGGGGGGCGUGACGGUAUGGGAUAAGAAAGCCCCGGCUAACUACGUG
rnacentral:rRNA from 1 species